AGGGCUACUGCCACGACACGUGUGGCGUGUGCAGCGGCGCAGGGCUGCCGUGUGUGGACCUGCGCUGGACAGAUCAGUACACAUGCGCCGACCUCAAGUCUUGGGGCUCGUGCAAUGACACCUGGGUCACGGACAACAACUUUUGUCGAAAGACGUGCGGCGCGUGCACGGGCAUGCCCCGGCCACCGUCGCCGCGGCCGCCUUCGCCACGCCCGCCAUCUCCUUCGCCUCCGUCGCCACGCCCACCAUCGCCGCCCUCACCUCCCUCGCCUAGCCCGCCCUCUCCUAAGCCGCCCUCGCCACCGUCUCCUCCUUCACCCAGCCCACCGUCUCCCAAGCCGCCUACACCGCCAUCCCCCGUGCCGCCCUCGCCCAAGCCUCCCGUGCCGCCUUCUCCCGUACCACCCUCACCGAAGCCCCCUGCGCCUCCUUCGCCCUCCCCGCCAUCUCCCAAGCCGCCCGCGCCCUCUCCCCCUCCGGUCCCUCCAUCCCCAAAGCCACCGUCUCCCUCGCCGCCCACACCUCCCAAGCCGCCGUCGCCUUCCCCGCCCUCGCCGUCGAACAGCCCUUGGCGUUGCACCGGCAACACGGCCGGCAUCGCUGGGUGUGUGGACCCGGCAUCCUACCCAGCGCCUGCCUCGUCAGCCAACGCAGCGACUUGCGGCGUCCUUCCUUCGUGCACAACCAUCGGCUGCCCCCAUUGCGACGCGUCGCUCAAGCGCUGGGACUCGGCUGCGACGUGGACAAAUUACGCUAACCAGGUGCCGGUGUCAGGCGCGGACAAGGACGUAACUCUUCCGCCGGGCACCCGUGUGCUGCUUUCGGGCUGCAUGCUGAGCGGGGGCUCGCGCUUCCGCCGCAUCACCGUUCCCGAGGGCAGCCAGGUAUGCGUCUUGGCGCAUUUGUGGUAAACUGCAAAUGCGGGGACCAGGACCUUGCGCGUUGGAAGUUGGGUGGUUAGCCAACGAAACCGUGUGUGUAAGCCGAGCUUGGGCGUUGCAACCCGGGCGCCUUCCCUGCUCACUUCAAUCGUGCCGUACGCGUUUUGGUCACGCCUCACACCAUGUCCCUGCCCCGGCUUUCUGUGCGCUGUGCAGCUGGUUAUAGACGACGCGCCGCUGAACCUGACGCUGACCACGCUGCUGGUGCAAGGCAACUUCAGUAUGGGCUCCGCCAGCUGCCGCCUGCAGAGCGCCAUCUCCAUCACGUUCGCGCCCGCGGCAGGAGUGCCCACCAACAUGAUGGCGCUCAAGGUGUGCAGGGAAAGCUUCUUUGGGACGGGCCCUCAGUAGGGCAUGUGGGUCGGGAUCGCCCGUGUCCAGGUGGGCUAGGUGGCAGUGUCGCGGGCAAUCAAGGUGUUCAUGCUGGACUCUGUGGCGUAGGAGCACUGUGGCGUGUGCACUCUCCUCUUGUACACCUGCACCAAGGGUUCCCUCCCCUGCACAGGGCAUGAACACCAGCACUGUGGACAUGCACGGCGUGCUGUUCACGCCCACUUGGACGCGGCUGACUCAGACAGCGGCCCCGGGCACUCGUUGGGUGACUGUGCGCGACGCAGUCAACUGGCGUGUGGGGCAGCUGGUGGCCGUCCCUACCAGCGUGUGGAAAGACGAGUGCCGCAACCAGAACGAGGUCAGGCAGAUCCAGAGCAUCAGCGCCGACGGCAAGAACAUCACAUUCACGACGGCGCUGCAGUUUUUGCACUACGGGUAGGUUGGCGCUAACCUUCGAGUGAUGCUGUUUGGACGGCCGGGGCCCGUUUAUGUGCAUGUGGUGCCCAUAGUGACACCACGUACCAUCGCGGUCCUGGUGCAGGGGCCCCGAGUACCAGACGGAAGUGGUGCUCCUGAGCCGCAGCAUCCUGUUGCAAGGCAGCCCCGAGUCCGCGGCCGAGCUGGCGGGCGGGCACGUGCGCAUUGAGAGCAAGGUGGGUUCGCGCGAGGGCAAGGUGACCACUUGGCGGCGGCAUGCUGGUUGGCAUUAACGUGCAGUGCGAACGCGCACUUGUAUCUUCGAGUGAACCUCCGCUCACCUGGCGGUUCCCGUGAUCUGUGACGUGCAGCGCGGGCGCAUCCGCGGCGUGCUGGGCUACCGCAUGGGCCAGCAGUUUCAGAUGGGCAGCUACCCGUUCCAUUUCCACAUGGCGGGCGAGGUGCCGUCUGACAGCUACAUGACCGACAACGCAGUGUACGCCAGCUACUGGCGAGGUGCGCUUAUGGAGGCUUCAGGAUGUGUGUACUGUGAAGGCUGUCGUUGCAGAAUGGCCAUCCCAAACUUGCCCUGAUGACUGCCUUGACCGUAUGCCUACCUCUUGCCCACGCUCGCAGCCUUCACCAUCCACGGCACGCACGCGCUGACGGUGGCCAGCAACACCGCCUUCCACGUGGCCGGCUCGGCGUUCUACAUUGAGGACGGCGCGGAGGAGCGCAACCGCAUCAGCGGCAACUUUGCCGGCUUCGUGCACCCGCUGGGCCGUGUGGACACGUGCGACGCGGUUGGCAGCGUGUUCGGCGCGCCCACCAUCUACCAGUCUGCUACACUGCUGCAGCCUGCCGACUGGGCCGCUGCUGGCUUCUACCUUAGGUGGGUGCAUGGGGCUAGGGCCGCCUGUGUAUGGUUUCUUGCCUUUGCAAUAUCUGCGUGCGUGCCAUACGCUACGACUUGGUGAUUCCCACACGGGCUUCCCAUCGUUGCAGCAACGCCUACAACUACAUCGACAACAACGCGGCCAGUGGCGGCACCAGCGGCUUCAUGUUCCUGAAUCUGCCCUUGCCGAUCGGGGUGAGUGCCGGUGUGUGCCCCCUCAUUGCAUGCUGGGUGGCAUCUUUCUUUCACAAUGCUCAAUCGUGACCCGGCUGGUGACUUCGUUUCACUAUGCCGCCUGUGCGUGCCCAUAUCUGCCCAGCUGAACCGCAACGUGCCGCUGGAGCCCUACAAGCGGCCCCCGCUGAGCUUCAGCGGCAACACCGCGCACUCGUCCGGCUAUCACUGGGACAAUGCGGGUGCAAUCUACUGCGGCGGUAACCUGCAGUACGACACAGACAACGUGACGCUGAUCUACAAGAUUGAGCGGUCCACGUUUGACCCCACGUGAGUCUUUGUGAGCUGCUUACAGCUUUCCCUUUCGCCCAGCCAUUUCGGCAACAUGCGCCUUACUCUCCCUCACUUACUUACCACAGAGACACGGCCAACUCUUCGUUACCGGUCAAGUUUGUGUUGCGCAACACCAAAGUGUGGCUGGGCGGCUUCUCAGUCGCUUCCUAUGGCGACCGGUUCUUGGUGAGUCAUUACGAUGCAUGUGGCCUUUGCCCCUGUGACUGCUUGCAAGCACGUUUGCUGCUGGACCGCACAUGAACCUACGCGCUACCUACCUGCGUCUUGCUUGUGCCCGCCCCCAGGUGGACGGCUUUGAGUCGCAUGACGGCACCAUGGGCGCGGCGGUGCGCGGUGACCCCAAUGAGCUGCUCAAUGCCGACCUGAACCUCAACUCCGCCCACGCCGGCUGGCUGACUGCCAACAUCCCCAAUGAGUGAGCGAGUCUCCUGCCUGCAAUCAUAGGCCAUGCUAUGCCGCUCGUCGCAGCUACCCGGUCGAUAACGCCCGUAAGCCCCAUCGCACCCGGCUGCUCCUUUGGUUUACCACUCGCAGCCUGCAACAAGGCUACCGCUUCGGUCUGCAGUUCUACGACACGUGGAUGCGGCACCUUAUGUCCAACGUCACCAUCCGCAACGUGGUGUACAGCAGCACCGAGUGGCUCACGCAGGCGGCGCUGGUGGCAUUGACCUUUUCGGACCAGUUUAAGCCGUUCCACGUGGCCAGCAUUCGGGGCAUCCGCCUAGUGAACGUGACCAAGGCGGCCGUGUUGAGCAACCCCGUGGUCCGCACUGGGUCAUGGCGCUUCUACAACUUCCUGGGUGCGGACACGAAUGGCGGGGCACGUUCCAUUAGUUUGCUUGUGUAUGUGUAAGGAAGUUUUGUACCUUUGUUGUGCCACACGCCCGUUCUUGAUCUUGCCCGAUGCACACACUGACCUGCAGACGCGGACGGUUCCUUCACGGGCACCAAGCGCCCCACGCUGGUAGCGUCCUACUCCGCCACCAACAACACCGGGCCCUGCGAUGCCGCUGCGCCCACACCCUGCACCUCGAGCUUUAACUGGUGGCGCACGGACACGGCCUGCACGGCCACGCCGCCAAAUGUGUGAGUGCGGGGUCGGCUGGGCUAUUGGCUGUGCCGGUGACUUGGCAGUGCAGGGCAACAUAGCACGCACUGCUGACACUCAACACCACUGGCAUUGCUAUCUGUCCCUCAACCAACAAACACAUGCGCAGGCCUGCAACGUCGAACGUCCUCGCGUGUGACUGGUGGGUGGAGAAUGGACGGACCUGCUGUGUGCUUUGUGGAUGCAAACAUAGCAGCUGUUGCCUUUUAUGCUGCACAUUGACGGAUACGUACAUGGGCAUUGACCCUACCUGCUUUUACUCGCCGUGUUCGCCAGGUACCCAUGGCGCACCCAGGGGCGCCUGAGGCUGGAGGUGCCGAGCUAUGACCUCACGGUAACAACUUGAUGGUCUGCACGCCUCGCUAUGAACCUUCCACGUGGGGUGUCCCAACCAACAACGUGUUAUGCGACCUGCAUUCGCGUCACGUUUGCCUUGACUACGCUCCUGCGCAGACUGAAGAGGCUGGCUGGUUGUGGCCUUCCGUCAACAACAUCAACGUGUACGACGCCGGCGUGGUGGCGCAGUUCGGCCAGACCGGCGCCAACCGCCGCGCCACCAUCAUCACUCGGGCCGAGGGCGUGACGGGCCUGACGGGGCGCGGCGGCUGGUACGCGCACUGGAGCCUGGGCGCACCCAAGUACGUCAAGGUGCAUUUGGAGACUGUGCCCCGCGGCACCUCCAUCAUCUUUGCUACACGCUACCCCGCCGGCACCACCUUCAGCAUCACCCGCGUGGCCAGCUCCUGGCUGGUGCCUGACGGGCAGCUGCUGCCCGCGACCAGCCUGGCGGCGGUGCUGGGCAGCGACUCCGGCGAGUUCUACUUCUUUGACGGCAAGCUGCUGUACCUGAAGCUGGUGGACCUUUGGGAGGAGCCGUACCAGGGUCGGCUGCCGGCCCGGAGCGGCGGGCUGAUGGUGCCCGGCAGCCGCUGGGAGGAGUACUAUGAGGUGACGGCCAGCAUCCCUGGCUGCUCCACGUCGCCGUACCCCAGCCAGAACGGACAAGACUUCUCUGGGCAGUUCUGUGCCAUGAACGUGAGUCAGGAUCAGGCCAAUGAGGCCAUGCAUUGGGACUGGGAGUAGGCAUGGCAGGGGCAGCAGGGGCAGGGACUGUGUGCACGUGCCCCUUUGGAACCCAGAACGGCGCCAGCCUCACCAAACCUGCCGCUGGGCCACCCUGUGUACAUACCGUAUGACAUUCUUCCUCUCCUUGCGCUCCAGGGCACUGUGGACAGCUUCAUCCCGCCCGCCAUCACGGCGGCCUACAACGAAUGGACCAUCCCCUACUGCGCCGAGGUGGCGCCGCCGCUGAGCGUAUGCAGCGCACUCAACGUGUCUGCCGGCAACUGCACCUGCGCGACGUUGCAGCAGCAGGGCCGCUGCGCUGACAUGGGAACCGGCGGCGUGUGGCUGGGCAACACGUCGGACGCCAACCUGCGUGCCAAUGUGGCCAAGACGCUCGGCUACUGCUCUGUGACGUGCGGUCGCUGCAGCGAGGGCCAGGAGUGGUGCCGCGACAUCCCCAUCAUGCCGCUCAGCCUGUCCAGUGAGUGGAAGGAGGGGAUGAGGACACUUGUAAGGCGUUUGCAGUUUGGCUUGCUUCGUGGUUCUAACGCUUCCCGCGGUGUGGCGCCCCUCCCAUUCCAUCUUUGCCUGCAGAGAACCAGACGUGCUCGCAGAUGGUUCCGCUGGGCCGCUGCUACGAGGUGGCGCCCAAGGGCUACUGCCACGACACGUGUGGCGUGUGCAGCGGCGCAGGGCUGCCGUGUGUGGACCUGCGCUGGACAGAUCAGUACACAUGCGCCGACCUCAAGUCUUGGGGCUCGUGCAAUGACACCUGGGUCACGGACAACAACUUUUGUCGAAAGACGUGCGGCGCGUGCACGGGCAUGCCCCGGCCACCGUCGCCGCGGCCGCCUUCGCCACGCCCGCCAUCUCCUUCGCCUCCG
rnacentral:lncRNA from 1 species